rnacentral:rRNA from 1 species
CGUAACGCGUAUCGAAUCUCGCCGUUACUCGGGGAUAGCCUUGCGAAAGUAAGAUUAAUACCCGAUGUUGUCAUUAUGCCGCAUGACAUGAUGACCAAAGGUUUACCGGUAACGGAUGACGAUGCGUCUGAUUAGGUAGAUGGCGGGGUAACGGCCCACCAUGCCGACGAUCAGUAGGGGUUCUGAGAGGAAGGUCCCCCACAUUGGAACUGAGACACGGUCCAAACUCCUACGGGAGGCAGCAGUGAGGAAUAUUGGUCAAUGGACGAGAGUCUGAACCAGCCAAGUAGCGUGCAGGAUGACGGCCCUCCGGGUUGUAAACUGCUUUUAGUUGGGAAUAAAAAAGGCGACGUGUCGCCUAUUGUAUGUACCAUCAGAAAAAGGACCGGCUAAUUCCGUG